rnacentral:rRNA from 1 species
UGGGGAAUCUUGCACAAUGGGGGAAACCCUGAUGCAGCGACGCCGCGUGAGCGAUGAAGCCCUUCGGGGUGUAAAGCUCUUUCGGCAGGAACGAUAAUGACGGUACCUGCAGAAGAAGCUGCGGCUAACUACGUGCCAGCAGCCGCGGUAAUACGUAGGCAGCGAGCGUUGUUCGGAAUUACUGGGCGUAAAGAGUGUGUAGGUGGUGUCGUAAGUUUGGUGUGAAAUCUCCCGGCUUAACUGGGAGGGUGCGCCGAAGACUGCGAUGCUGGAGUAUGGGAGAGGAAAGCGGAAUUCCUGGUGUAGCGGUGAAAUGCGUAGAUAUCGGGAGGAACACCUGUGGCGAAGGCGGCCACCUGGUUGGAUACUGACGCUGAGACGCGAAAGCGUGGGGAGCAAACAGGAUUAGAUACCCUAGUAGUCCCUGAGCGGGCUGGCAAGGCG